rnacentral:lncRNA from 1 species
AAGGGCGAUGGUGAAGGAUGGAGGCAACGAUGAAUCUAACAGUACAUCUAAUGAAGAUAGGGGUAAAAUAAUCUUUUCACAUGAUCAAGAUUAUUGUAGAAGUAUUUUUAAAGUAGGAGAGCUUUACAAGAAAUUCUUAAGGUUAGAAGUUUUUUUUUUUUUUUGAGAAUUUAACUAGUUUUGGCGCAAAGCAUUUUUAUACUUACUUAAAUGC